AUCAUGGCUCAGGACGNACGCUGGCGGCGUGCNUNAUACAUGCAAGUCGAACGAACUCUGGUAUUGAUUGGUGCUUGCAUCAUGAUUUACAUUUGAGUGAGUGGCGAACUGGUGAGUAACACGUGGGAAACCUGCCCAGAAGCGGGGGAUAACACCUGGAAACAGAUGCUAAUACCGCAUAACAACUUGGACCGCAUGGUCCGAGCUUGAAAGAUGGCUUCGGCUAUCACUUUUGGAUGGUCCCGCGGCGUAUUAGCUAGAUGGUGGGGUAACGGCUCACCAUGGCAAUGAUACGUAGCCGACCUGAGAGGGUAAUCGGCCACAUUGGGACUGAGACACGGCCCAAACUCCUACGGGAGGCAGCAGUAGGGAAUCUUCCACAAUGGACGAAAGUCUGAUGGAGCAACGCCGCGUGAGUGAAGAAGGGUUUCGGCUCGUAAAACUCUGUUGUUAAAGAAGAACAUAUCUGAGAGUAACUGUUCAGGUAUUGACGGUAUUUAACCAGAAAGCCACGGCUCACUACGUGCCAGCAGCCGCGGUAAUACGUAGGUGGCAAGCGUUGUCCGGAUUUAUUGGGCGUAAAGCGAGCGCAGGCGGUUUUUUAAGUCUGAUGUGAAAGCCUUCGGCUCAACCGAAGAAGUGCAUCGGAAACUGGGAAACUUGAGUGCAGAAGAGGACAGUGGAACUCCAUGUGUAGCGGUGAAAUGCGUAGAUAUAUGGAAGAACACCAGUGGCGAAGGCGGCUGUCUGGUCUGUAACUGACGCUGAGGCUCGAAAGUAUGGGUAGCAAACAGGAUUAGAUACCCUGGUAGUCCAUACCGUAAACGAUGAAUGCUAAGUGUUGGAGGGUUUCCGCCCUUCAGUGCUGCAGCUAACGCAUUAAGCAUUCCGCCUGGGGAGUACGGCCGCAAGGCUGAAACUCAAAGGAAUUGACGGGGGCCCGCACAAGCGGUGGAGCAUGUGGUUUAAUUCGAAGCUACGCGAAGAACCUUACCAGGUCUUGACAUACUAUGCAAAUCUAAGAGAUUAGACGUUCCCUUCGGGGACAUGGAUACAGGUGGUGCAUGGUUGUCGUCAGCUCGUGUCGUGAGAUGUUGGGUUAAGUCCCGCAACGAGCGCAACCCUUAUUAUCAGUUGCCAGCAUUAAGUUGGGCACUCUGGUGAGACUGCCGGUGACAAACCGGAGGAAGGUGGGGAUGACGUCAAAUCAUCAUGCCCCUUAUGACCUGGGCUACACACGUGCUACAAUGGAUGGUACAACGAGUUGCGAACUCGCGAGAGUAAGCUAAUCUCUUAAAGCCAUUCUCAGUUCGGAUUGUAGGCUGCAACUCGCCUACAUGAAGUCGGAAUCGCUAGUAAUCGCGGAUCAGCAUGCCGCGGUGAAUACGUUCCCGGGCCUUGUACACACCGCCCGUCACACCAUGAGAGUUUGUAACACCCAAAGUCGGUGGGGUAACCAUUUUAGGAACUAGCCGCCUAAGGUGG
rnacentral:rRNA from 1 species